rnacentral:rRNA from 1 species
CAUACCGCCCGUAACGGGGGAAAGCGAGGGGAUCUUCGGACCUUGCGCUAUUGGAUGAGUCUGCGUCGGAUUAGCUUGUUGGUGAGGUAAUGGCUCACCAAGGCGACGAUCCGUAGCUGGUCUGAGAGGAUGAUCAGCCACACUGGGACUGAGACACCGGCCCAGACUCCUACGGGAGGCAGCAGGUGGGGAAUAUUGGACAAUGGGCGAAAGCCUGAUCCAGCCAUGCCGCGUGUGUGAAGAAGGCUCUAGGGUUGUAAAGCACUUUCAGUGGGGAAGAAAGCUUGUUAGCUAAUAACUGACGAGUGUGACAUUACCCACAGAAGAAGCACCGGCUAACUCCGUG